rnacentral:lncRNA from 1 species
GGGGGUGAAUUGGUGUUUUAUCAAAAACAAAUUCUUUUCGCAAUCUUGAAAUCAAAGUAUGAAACUUUUCAAACUUUCUUGAAAUGCAAGUAAUGAAAAUUCGUAUGCAGCGGAAAAACGUAGUUGACUGCGUUAAAUGUAAAGUCGACUGUAAAGUAAAAGUGUAGGGAUAGAGAAAAUUGGUUUUUAUACUAGUUCGGCCAACAAUGCCUACAUCCAAUGUCCUUCCAACCCAAGAAGCAGAUGCACUAUAAUGGUUGCGGUUUUUACAACAAGGAAUUUAUAGAAGACCUCCACGUCAAAAAUAUAAAUCUCUUCUCUAACCCU